UACGGGGGAGCAAGCGUUGUUCGGAUUUACUGGGUCGUAAAGGGCGCGUAGGCGGCCUCCGCAAGUCAAGUUGUCGGAAAUCCUCCGAGCUUAACUCGGAAAGGUCGAACUGAUACUGCGGGGCUAGAGUGCGGGAAGGGGCAACUGGAAUUCUUGGUGUAGCGGUGAAAUGCGUAGACUAUCAGGAGGAAUACCGGUGGCGAAAGCGACUCUCUGGACGGCAACUGACGCUGAGGCACGAAAGCGUGGGGAGCAAACAGG
rnacentral:rRNA from 1 species